GACAGAGGUCCCGAGCGUUAGGCGGAAUCACUGGGCUUAAAGCGUGUGUAGGCGGAUUUGUAAGUACCUUGUGAAAUCCCACGGCUCAACCGUGGAACUGCUUGGUAUACUGCUUAUCUUGGGCCACUUAGGGGUUACCGGAACAAACGGUGGAGCGGUGAGAUGCGUAGAUAUCGUUUGGAACGCCAAUGGUGAAAACAGGUAACUGGGAGUGUGCCGACGCUGAGACACGAAAGCUAGGGGAGCGAACGGG
rnacentral:rRNA from 1 species